AUCAAAGUUGUCAUUUACUGAAAAAACACGUGUGUCAGCAGGCAACAAACCUCGUACUUGAGUAAUUGUGUACAUUGAACAAACUAAAUGUGCUCAUGAAGCAAACUAUGUAAACACCCAGCCAUCAAAUUAGAGGCUCAAUCUAUUGCAUUGUCAUCUAUCCUAUUUUUUGUUGGCACGUUUUCCUCCCCACUUUUAACAACAGGACAUCCGCGUUGGGAGUAUAGGCUGAUUAUGAAGACUUCAUAGUCCACUUUGUUCAGUGCUUCUCUUGCUUGGCAUCAUCAAUGUAGAACAUAAGCAGCAAAAUAACCAGAUUUCAACACAUACAAAUGAGCAACAUUGUAAUCAAACCAUCAGAGAUCAUGAAACCUCAACACAGAUUACAUGUUCAAUAUAAUAAUUGAGACAGUUCAUGAAAUAUGCCUUUGUCCCAACAUAAAAUGUUAUAAACAUGCCACCCGGUAUAGGCAAUCCUACAAGACAAAUAUUGCACCAAAUAUGCAGCUGCAUGUGUAUACCAAUAUUGGAAAUUAGGGUGAUAUAGGAGAUAUAGGAGCAUGGUGUUAAUUUACCUUUUCUUGUAAGAAAUUGUGAAAUAAACCAAUUAAUGCCUGAUGGUAAGGUUUGCAACCAUUAGACAUGUGAUGGUGACAGCACCAACAACAGCACUAAAUUCUCGAAAAAGAAGCUCCCCAACAGUACUCUGCCUGAGAUUUGAGAACAUAUCAUAUAUUAGGAAAUAAAGAGAUUAGAUUGCAAGCAGAGUUCAAAUUUAGUGCCAUAUUAUAAAAAUCAGAGUAUUGGAAAGUUAUCGAUAGACCGCCUGUAAUCCAUUUGCCACUGAUUUCACCACCAUUUCUGGUAUAAAGAAUAAAUAUGUCAACCAUGCCCAUGAAAGAAGUUUCCACUCUAGAUCAUGCCAGACAGCAACAAAUGUGAAUAUAACCCAUAUAUUGAGUAGCUUUCUAUGCGUACCUCCAAGAGGAAUAUACAUGUACCUCACAAGCCAUUUAUUGUAUGAAGCAUGCCAAUUUUUCCAUAAAUUCUACAAGUCGUAGCAGUUAUUGAUAGACCUUGGCAUGUUUUCUGGGGCCUCGAUGUCACAAACCUAAAAUAACAAUGUUAUUAAAAAUAACUUUCUUCUGUGUUUAAUUGGAUAGUAAAAGACAAAAGCUUAAAGCUUAUUACAAGUUAUGAUAAAAUUGUAGAUACACUGUCCAAAAAAUUAGACUAAACUGCCUAGGGACUUAGACAAAGAUAUAUUUCAAGUCCAAUGGGGGAAUGAGGGAAAAAUUGUAACUCAAUGAGCAUACAAGUGACCAGAACUGGAAAUAGCACCAAAUGAGGUAAAACUUUAGCCACAUGAAGUUCAAGACCUCAGAAGAAGGAAGAGUUCAAAGUUGAGUACAGAUGGUUUGUCUCAACAACACAAGCCUGGAUAGUUUGUCGUAAGCUCAGUCUCUCAUAUCCUCUGAUGAAUAUGUCCACUGGUGAUAACAAUUUCCACAGGCCACUGAGUUGUGAAAAAAUAAAUGUAAUUAAUUCUAAAUUUAGAAGGGACAGAGAGAUUUAAUGCAUGCCAUAUUCUUGAGUUGCAAAGACUCUAACCUGAUUGCAAAAGCAUUAUAGUGAAACAAAUGUGUCAAAACUUCUAUUAGGAAAAAGCUGAAUAUCCAACCUAACCCAUACCAAGACACAUCUUGGGCUGCAUAAUUAUUCUGAGGCAUGUCUAACUGUGAGACAUAGGCAUUGAAGCUUAUAAUUGGCCCAGCAAUAUAAAGGGGAGCAUAUACCAAAUAAGAAAGGUCUAUGUUGAAGGAGAAAUUGUCAUUUGAGCCACUUCUCUCCUGGGUAAAAUGAAUGAAAUUAUUAACUACUUAAAAAAAAAGGAAUCCUUCUGAUGGCCCCAACAAAUGAGCAGUUAAUACUAAGUGGUUAGCUCAUGCUUAAGAAGAAACUAACCUGUUAAAAUUGGUAGCAUGUUUUUCCAGACUUACAGAUAUCGCAACGUUGUAUGUGUCUCUAAGAUCAUUGGUUCAAUAAAAUAUCAGCACAACUAGCUUCUGUUAGCACAAUUAUUUAAAAUAUAAUCUCAAAUGCAAACAAUGAAGUCAAAAUAUGUAGAUAUAAUACUGUAUGCUGUCAAGAAGCGAGGGAAAAAUAAAAAGUGCAGCUGAUUGGGGCAGGUCAUGGUUGAUUUUAAGUCCCAAGACAAGUAAAAAUGAAACAAGUUGAUGAUGAUGCAUCGUGUACAGAACCUUAAGUAGCAAAGGACACAAAUAUUCAACACCGGAAUUGAAAUUCAAAAGUUGCAUUAAUAGAAUCCCCAUUCCUACACAAAAAUACAUUUUAUGUGCAGAGAAUUUUUAUUUAAGCAACAAGCAAAGCUGGUAGGAAAAUGUUUGGAUUUGGAGCAUUUUGUUUAUCAUUUGUGAAUUCAGGAGUUGGUUAAAAAGUUGGGGGCAUGUUUUUCUUAUCCGGAGUACUUACUAUUUUAUGCAAAGUAUUUACCCUUUUUAGACAAAGUAGUCUUAAUAGGUAUGGGACUGGGUGUUGUAUACGUAUCAGUUGGGAGCCCCAGCAAUGUCUAUGCAUAAGAAAAGCAGAAAGCUUAACAUUACUUCUAGAUCAAUUGUUUCAAAUAUCCAUUUUAAACAUUACUUGAAGUUCAUAGUUCUGUUAUGCUUUAAACAAGCUUAAGUAAUUAACAGUUUUAUUGUAGUUUCUGCAUCAAAUUUCUGAGGCUGCUAAUAUCAUUCCAUGUCCUUUAGGUGUAGUGGUGGUACUAAGUGUGCACUUGAUUGGUUGUCUUUUAAAAUCAUACGUGUUACAAUGUAUUUCAAAGGAGCAUCAUUCAUACUUCACAAAUUGUGCUUGUUGAGUAACUUUAUUUCAAAUAUUUAGUUGAAUUUCUUUGUCUGAUAGAACUAAUAUUUAAGCCUUGAAUAUGUCAUAAAGAUUAAUGUUGGCAUUUCAGAUGUUGCUACCUCGGUUUUUCUGAUCCAUUAACAAGCAUAUAUAACUAGCUUGGUUGUCUGCUUCUGCAUUAUGACUCAUCAAUCUCUCUCAGGUAGAAAAUCUUACUCGUGAAGCCCAGCUUCAGGAAGUUGAGC
rnacentral:misc_RNA from 1 species